GCGCGAGUGGUGGAAUUGGCAGACACGUACGUUUGAGGGGCGUAUGCGAAUAGCAUGCGGGUUCAAGUCCCGCCUCGCGCACCA
rnacentral:tRNA from 1 species